UUAGAGUUCGAUCAUGGCUCAGAGUGAACGCUGGCGGCGUGCUUAACACAUGCAAGUCGAACGGUAACAGCAGAGCUUGCUCUGGCUGACGAGUGGCGCACGGGUGAGUAAUAUAUAGUUAAUGUGCCUCGAAGACCGGGAUAGCCAUUGGAAACGAUGACUAAUACUGGAUAUACCUUUCUUUCAUAAGUUAGAAAGGGAAAUGUUUUUUCGCUUCGAGAUCAGACUAUAUCCCAUCAGCUUGUUGGUGAGGUAAGAGCUCACCAAGGCAAUGACGGGUAGCGGGUUUGAGAGGAUGAUCCGCCACACUGGUACUGAGACACGGACCAGACUCCUACGGGAGGCAGCAGUGAGGAAUAUUGCACAAUGGGGGAAACCCUGAUGCAGCAACGCCGCGUGGAGGAUGACGCAUUUCGGUGUGUAAACUCCUUUUAUGAGUCAAGAAAAUGACGGUAGCUCAUGAAUAAGCACCGGCUAACUCCGUGCCAGCAGCCGCGGUAAUACGGAGGGUGCAAGCGUUACUCGGAAUCACUGGGCGUAAAGGACACGUAGGCGGGUUGGAAAGUCAGAUGUGAAAUCCUACAGCUUAACUGUAGAACUGCAUUUGAAACUUCCAACCUAGAGUAUGGGAGGGGGAGAUGGAAUUAGUGGUGUAGGGGUAAAAUCCGUAGAUAUCACUAGGAAUACCUAAAGCGAAGGCGAUCUCCUGGAACAUUACUGACGCUAAGGUGUGAAAGCGUGGGGAGCAAACGGGAUUAGAUACCCCGGUAGUCCACGCCCUAAACGAUGAACACUAGUCGUCGGGAUGCUUGUCAUCUCGGUGAUGCACUUAACAGAUUAAGUGUUCCGCCUGGGGAGUACGGUCGCAAGAUUAAAACUCAAAGGAAUAGACGGGGACCCGCACAAGCGGUGGAGCAUGUGGUUUAAUUCGAUGAUACGCGAGGAACCUUACCAGGGCUUAAAUGCAUUUUGACAGGGGUAGAGAUACCUUUUCCUUCGGGCAAUUUGCAAGGUGCUGCAUGGUUGUCGUCAGCUCGUGCCGUGAGGUGUCAGGUUAAGUCCUAUAACGAGCGCAACCCCUACCGUUAGUUGCCAGCAUGUCAUGAUGGGGACUCUAACGGGACUGCCGGUGCAAACCGUGAGGAAGGUGGGGAUGACGUCAAAUCAUCACGGCCCUUACGUCCUGGGCCACACACGUGCUACAAUGGCAGGUACAGAGAGCAGCCAUGUCGCAAGGCAGAGCGAAUCUAUAAAACCUGUCACAGUUCGGAUCGGGGUCUGCAACUCGACCCCGUGAAGCUGGAAUCGCUAGUAAUCGGAUAUCAGCCAUGAUCCGGUGAAUACGUUCCCGGGCCUUGUACACACCGCCCGUCAAGCCAUGGAAGCCGGGAGUGCCUGAAGUCCGUCACCGUAAGGAGCGGCCUAGGGCAAGAUCGGUAACUAGGGCUAAGUCGUAACAAGGUAACCAA
rnacentral:rRNA from 1 species